rnacentral:rRNA from 1 species
AUAUUGGGCGUAAGAGCUCGUAGGCGGUUUGUCGCGUCUGCCGUGAAAGUCCGGGGCUCAACUCCGGAUCUGCGGUGGGUACGGGCAGACUAGAGUGAUGUAGGGGAGACUGGAAUUCCUGGUGUAGCGGUGAAAUGCGCAGAUAUCAGGAGGAACACCGAUGGCGAAGGCAGGUCUCUGGGCAUUAACUGACGCUGAGGAGCGAAAGCAUGGGGAGCGAACAGGAUUAGAUACCCUGGUAGUCCAUGCCGUAAACGUUGGGCACUAGGUGUGGGGGACAUUCCACGUUUUCCGCGCCGUAGCUAACGCAUUAAGUGCCCCGCCUGGGGAGUACGGCCGCAAGGCUAAAACUCAAAGGAAUUGACGGGGGCCCGCACAAGCGGCGGAGCAUGCGGAUUAAUUCGAUGCAACGCGAAGAACCUUACCAAGGCUUGACAUGGGCCGGACCGGGCUGGAAACAGUCCUUCCCCUUUGGGGCCGGUUCACAGGUGGUGCAUGGUUGUCGUCAGCUCGUGUCGUGAGAUGUUGGGUUAAGUCCCGCAACGAGCGCAACCCUCGUUCCAUGUUGCCAGCGCGUAAUGGCGGGGACUCAUGGGAGACUGCCGGGGUCAACUCGGAGGAAGGUGGGGACGACGUCAAAUCAUCAUGCCCCUUAUGUCUUGGGCUUCACGCAUGCUACAAUGGCCGGUACAAAGGGUUGCGAUACUGUGAGGUGGAGCUAAUCCCAAAAAGCCGGUCUCAGUUCGGAUUGGGGUCUGCAACUCGACCCCAUGAAGUCGGAGUCGCUAGUAAUCGCAGAUCAGCAACGCUGCGGUGAAUACGUUCCCGGGCCUUGUACACACCGCCCGUCAAGUCACGAAAGUUGGUAACACUCGAAGCCGGUGGCCUAACCCCUUGUGGGAGGGAGCUGUCGAAGGUGGGACUGGC